UACGUAGGGGGCUAGCGUUGUCCGGAAUCAUUGGGCGUAAAGCGCGCGUAGGCGGCCCGGUAAGUCCGCUGUAAAAGUCAAAGGCUCAACCUUUGAAUGUCAGUGGAUACUGCCGGGCUAGAGUCCGGGAGAGGCGAGUGGAACUCCUGGUGUAGCGGUGGAAUGCGCAGAUAUCAGGAAGAACACCGACGGCGAAGGCAGCUCGCUGGGACGGUACUGACGCUGAGGCGCGAAAAGCGUGGGGGAGCGAACAGG
rnacentral:rRNA from 1 species